AUGAACGCUAGCUACAGGCUUAACACAUGCAAGUCGAGGGGCAGCAUGGUCUUAGCUUGCUAAGGCCGAUGGCGACCGGCGCACGGGUGAGUAACACGUAUCCAACCUGCCGUCUACUCUUGGACAGCCUUCUGAAAGGAAGAUUAAUACAAGAUGGCAUCAUGAGUCCGCAUGUUCACAUGAUUAAAGGUAUUCCGGUAGACGAUGGGGAUGCGUUCCAUUAGAUAGUAGGCGGGGUAACGGCCCACCUAGUCUUCGAUGGAUAGGGGUUCUGAGAGGAAGGUCCCCCACAUUGGAACUGAGACACGGUCCAAACUCCUACGGGAGGCAGCAGUGAGGAAUAUUGGUCAAUGGGCGAGAGCCUGAACCAGCCAAGUAGCGUGAAGGAUGACUGCCCUAUGGGUUGUAAACUUCUUUUAUAAAGGAAUAAAGUCGGGUAUGCAUACCCGUUUGCAUGUACUUUAUGAAUAAGGAUCGGCUAACUCCGUGCCAGCAGCCGCGGUAAUACGGAGGAUCCGAGCGUUAUCCGGAUUUAUUGGGUUUAAAGGGAGCGUAGAUGGAUGUUUAAGUCAGUUGUGAAAGUUUGCGGCUCAACCGUAAAAUUGCAGUUGAUACUGGAUAUCUUGAGUGCAGUUGAGGCAGGCGGAAUUCGUGGUGUAGCGGUGAAAUGCUUAGAUAUCACGAAGAACUCCGAUUGCGAAGGCAGCCUGCUAAGCUGCAACUGACAUUGAGGCUCGAAAGUGUGGGUAUCAAACAGGAUUAGAUACCCUGGUAGUCCACACGGUAAACGAUGAAUACUCGCUGUUUGCGAUAUACGGCAAGCGGCCAAGCGAAAGCGUUAAGUAUUCCACCUGGGGAGUACGCCGGCAACGGUGAAACUCAAAGGAAUUGACGGGGGCCCGCACAAGCGGAGGAACAUGUGGUUUAAUUCGAUGAUACGCGAGGAACCUUACCCGGGCUUAAAUUGCAGAUGAAUUACGGUGAAAGCCGUAAGCCGCAAGGCAUCUGUGAAGGUGCUGCAUGGUUGUCGUCAGCUCGUGCCGUGAGGUGUCGGCUUAAGUGCCAUAACGAGCGCAACCCCUCUCCUUAGUUGCCAUCAGGUCAAGCUGGGCACUCUGGGGACACUGCCACCGUAAGGUGUGAGGAAGGUGGGGAUGACGUCAAAUCAGCACGGCCCUUACGUCCGGGGCUACACACGUGUUACAAUGGGGGGUACAGAGGGCCGCUACCACGCGAGUGGAUGCCAAUCCCCAAAACCUCUCUCAGUUCGGACUGGAGUCUGCAACCCGACUCCACGAAGCUGGAUUCGCUAGUAAUCGCGCAUCAGCCACGGCGCGGUGAAUACGUUCCCGGGCCUUGUACACACCGCCCGUCAAGCCAUGGGAGCCGGGGGUACCUGAAGUGCGUAACCGCGAGGAGCGCCCUAGGGUAAAACUGGUGACUGGGGCU
rnacentral:rRNA from 1 species